GAUCAUUAAAUAGUAUUAUAGACUACAUCUUGGUCANUAGAGGAAGUAAAAGUCGUAACAAGGUUUCCGUAGGUGAACCUGCGGAAGGAUCAUUAUUGAAAAACUACUUUUUUUAUAGUUUUUUUAUAUCCCAUUGUCUACCUAUCCUGUUGCUUCCACUAGACAGGUUUCAUCCCUGUAGCAUGUGUGAAUAACACUUGCCAUAGAGUUGCUAGUGGUAAGCCCAUUAUCAAAACUUGAUAUGAAAAUAUGUCUGAUUCAUUCUUUGAAAUAAAAUAAAACUUUCAACAACGGAUCUCUAGGCUCUUGCAUCGAUGAAGAACGCAGUGAAAUGCGAUAAGUAAUGUGAAUUGCAGAAUCUCGUGAAUCAUCGAAUCUUUGAACGCACAUUGCGCCCUAUGGUAUUCCGUAGGGCAUGCCUGUCUGAGCGUCAGCUCCCCUCCACCUCAAGUAUCUUUCAAGACGCUUGGAUUACUUUGGAGAAGUGGUUUUUGUAGGUGCUAAAAGUUACCUGAAAUUUCCACCCUCCAAAAAUAUAUUGGCAGUAUGGCUUUCCAAACUGGACGUAAUAAACAUAUAAAAGCGUCUCUUGUUUGGUCAGUGCUGUGCUUGCCUUAACCCACCCAAAUCAUAUUUUUUUUCUGGGUGACCUCAGAUCAGGUAGG
rnacentral:rRNA from 1 species